rnacentral:rRNA from 1 species
AAAUUGAAGAGUUUGAUCAUGGCUCAGAUUGAACGCUGGCGGCAGGCCUAACACAUGCAAGUCGAACGGUAACAGGAAGCAGCUUGCUGCUUCGCUGACGAGUGGCGGACGGGUGAGUAAUGUCUGGGAAACUGCCUGAUGGAGGGGGAUAACUACUGGAAACGGUGGCUAAUACCGCAUAACGUCGCAAGACCAAAGAGGGGGACCUUCGGGCCUCUUGCCAUCAGAUGUGCCCAGAUGGGAUUAGCUAGUUGGUGAGGUAACGGCUCACCAAGGCGACGAUCCCUAGCUGGUCUGAGAGGAUGACCAGCCACACUGGAACUGAGACACGGUCCAGACUCCUACGGGAGGCAGCAGUGGGGAAUAUUGCACAAUGGGCGCAAGCCUGAUGCAGCCAUGCCGCGUGUAUGAAGAAGGCCUUCGGGUUGUAAAGUACUUUCAGCGGGGAGGAAGGUGUUGUGGUUAAUAACCGCAGCAAUUGACGUUACCCGCAGAAGAAGCACCGGCUAACUCCGUGCCAGCAGCCGCGGUAAUACGGAGGGUGCAAGCGUUAAUCGGAAUUACUGGGCGUAAAGCGCACGCAGGCGGUCUGUCAAGUCGGAUGUGAAAUCCCCGGGCUCAACCUGGGAACUGCAUUCGAAACUGGCAGGCUUGAGUCUUGUAGAGGGGGGUAGAAUUCCAGGUGUAGCGGUGAAAUGCGUAGAGAUCUGGAGGAAUACCGGUGGCGAAGGCGGCCCCCUGGACAAAGACUGACGCUCAGGUGCGAAAGCGUGGGGAGCAAACAGGAUUAGAUACCCUGGUAGUCCACGCCGUAAACGAUGUCUACUUGGAGGUUGUGCCCUUGAGGCGUGGCUUCCGGAGCUAACGCGUUAAGUAGACCGCCUGGGGAGUACGGCCGCAAGGUUAAAACUCAAAUGAAUUGACGGGGGCCCGCACAAGCGGUGGAGCAUGUGGUUUAAUUCGAUGCAACGCGAAGAACCUUACCUGGUCUUGACAUCCACAGAACUUUCCAGAGAUGGAAUGGUGCCUUCGGGAACUGUGAGACAGGUGCUGCAUGGCUGUCGUCAGCUCGUGUUGUGAAAUGUUGGGUUAAGUCCCGCAACGAGCGCAACCCUUAUCCUUUGUUGCCAGCGGUUAGGCCGGGAACUCAAAGGAGACUGCCAGUGAUAAACUGGAGGAAGGUGGGGAUGACGUCAAGUCAUCAUGGCCCUUACGACCAGGGCUACACACGUGCUACAAUGGCGCAUACAAAGAGAAGCGACCUCGCGAGAGCAAGCGGACCUCAUAAAGUGCGUCGUAGUCCGGAUUGGAGUCUGCAACUCGACUCCAUGAAGUCGGAAUCGCUAGUAAUCGUGGAUCAGAAUGCCACGGUGAAUACGUUCCCGGGCCUUGUACACACCGCCCGUCACACCAUGGGAGUGGGUUGCAAAAGAAGUAGGUAGCUUAACCUUCGGGAGGGCGCUUACCACUUUGUGAUUCAUGACUGGGGUGAAGUCGUAACAAGGUAACCGUAGGGGAACCUGCGGUUGGAUCACCUCCUUACCUUAAAGAAGC